rnacentral:rRNA from 1 species
UACGUAGGGGCCUAGCGUUGUCCGGAAUUAUUGGGCGUAAAGAGCUCAUAGGCGGUUCGGCAAGUCGGAUGUGAAAUCUCCACGCUUAACGUGGAGGGGCCAUUCGAAACUGCUGUGACUCGAGUCCGGUAGGGGAGUGUGGAAUUCCCGGUGUAGCGGUGAAAUGCGCAGAUAUCGGGAGGAACACCAGUAGCGAAGGCGGCACUCUGGGCCGGUACUGACGCUGAGGAGCGAAAGCGUGGGGAGCGAACAGG